UGGGGAAUUUUGCACAAUGGGGGAAACCCUGAUGCAGCGACGCCGCGUGAUUUAGAAGGCCUUCGGGUUGUAAAAAUCGUUUUUACGGGAUGAAAAUGACAGUACCGUAAGAAUAAGGUCCGGCUAAAUACGUGCCAGCAGCCGCGGUAAUACGUAUGGACCGAGCGUUGUCCGGAAUCAUUGGGCGUAAAGGGUACGUAGGCGGCCUAGUAAGUUAGAAGUGAAAUAAUAUAGCUCAACUAUAUAAAGCUUUUAAAACUGCUAGGCUUGAGAGAUGGAAGGGAAAGUGGAAUUCCUAGUGUAGCGGUGAAAUGCGCAGAUAUUAGGAAGAAUACCGGUGGCGAAGGCGACUUUCUGGUCAUCAUCUGACGCUGAGGUACGAAAGCGUGGGUAGCAAACAGG
rnacentral:rRNA from 1 species